rnacentral:rRNA from 1 species
UACGAGGGGAGCUAGCGUUAUUCGGAAUUACUGGGCGUAAAGCGCACGUAGGCGGCUUUGUAAGUUAGAGGUGAAAGCCCAGAGCUCAACUCUGGAAUUGCCUUUAAGACUGCAUCGCUUGAAUCCAGGAGAGGUGAGUGGAAUUCCGAGUGUAGAGGUGAAAUUCGUAGAUAUUCGGAAGAACACCAGUGGCGAAGGCGGCUCACUGGACUGGUAUUGACGCUGAGGUGCGAAAGCGUGGGGAGCAAACAGGAUUAGAUACCCGUGUAGUCC